rnacentral:rRNA from 1 species
GAGUUUGAUCGUGGCUCAGAUUGAACGCUGGCGGCAUGCCUUACACAUGCAAGUCGAACGGCAGCACGGGAGCUUGCUCCUGGUGGCGAGUGGCGAACGGGUGAGUAAUGCAUCGGAACGUAUCCUGGAGUGGGGGAUAACGUAGCGAAAGUUACGCUAAUACCGCAUAUUCUGUGAGCAGGAAAGCGGGGGACCUUCGGGCCUCGCGCUCUUGGGGCGGCCGAUGUCGGAUUAGCUAGUUGGUGAGGUAAAGGCUCACCAAGGCGACGAUCCGUAGCAGGUCUGAGAGGAUGAUCUGCCACACUGGAACUGAGACACGGUCCAGACUCCUACGGGAGGCAGCAGUGGGGAAUUUUGGACAAUGGGGGCAACCCUGAUCCAGCCAUGUCGCGUGAGUGAAGAAGGCCUCGGUUGUAAG